AGGGGGUGGAAUAUGUUCAGGACAUUCCAAACAUUAAAUAAAAUGUGUGAAGUAGUGGAGAAUUACGUCCCUGAAUGCUCCACAAUACUUUAAACAUAGGUGACAAGAAGACACGCUUAUCAACUCAAUUACUAUUGAUCAAAACAGAACGAGGUUUCGGCUGUAGCCUAUACUUGAAACAAACUAUUGAGACCAUAUUCGCUUACAUGCAUUGCACGCGUGAUGAAUUGCGGCUUAAUGGUGUUUUGAGCCCUCACCGUCGACUUCAAGGCAGCAGCUCACCCACCCCCUGAGCGAAAUAAUUCAUAUCUAUAAAUAACAGCUCACCUUUAUCUUUUUAACCAGAUUUGUAAACAGGUCGCGAUCAAUAUUUUGCAGUACAAUAGGCUACCUUGGUUAAAAAUCGAAUUACGAUAGAUGCAUGCUAGCAUUGCGCUAAAUAAUUAGACAGCUAACAUUAAUUAGUGGUGUUAACAUAAAGUCAGUUAUUGUAUAUGGCAUUAAUAUUAUUCUAAAACACCUUCACUAGUUGUUUUAACCAGAUUUGUAAGCAGGUUGUAUACAACAUUUUGGAAGUGCCUUGGUUUAUAACAGCUAAAAGCUAGCUACAUUAAGUUGCUUGCUCAAAUCUCAAAUUCAAACCAACGUAUUCUCUAAACUGGCAAGCUUGGAGCUGCCUCUGUUCAAUGAUUGGCUCAGGGGGUGGGAGGUGGGAUGCGCCUUCCAGGCAGCUGCUGCCUUGAAGUCGACGGUGAGGGCUCAAAACACCAUUAAGCAGCUUUUUUUUUAUUUAUUUUUUAUCGCGGACUUUUUAUUUUUUUUGCCUUAGGCGCUUGGGAUUUGUUGUAGGCGCUCGGGAAAACGGCUUAGGCGCGCGCCCAAAUUUUCUCUAUGCAGGAAAAACCUGUAUACUCAUUAAAAAAAUAAAAGGUUGGCAAAGUCAACUCCUCUAGGCCUCUUUUUCUUUUAACCCUGGCAGCUCAUACUGCUCUCAACCUCCUCGACGAGCCACCCCGCUUAGCAACGGGGGUUUUCUUCCCACUGGAGCUGCCUUUGCCGACUGCCUUCUCCUCAACAGCUGCGGCAUCACCCUCAUCUCCACCCAGAAGUUCAUCCUCAUCCUCCACAGGAGCCAGGAUGCGGUCAUGCCCCUCCUCCAGAGAGGCUGGUUGUGUGUUCCCAUUGGCUGCUGAUGCUGCCUGUAUGAUCUCCUCGUGCGGCUGCUCCUGCGGUUGCUGCUCCUCCUGCGGUUGCUGCUCCUCCUGCGGCUGCUCCUCCUGCGGCUGCUCCUCCUGCGGCUGAUUCUCCUGCGGCUGCUCCUCUUGCGGCUGCUUCUCCUGCGGCUGCUCCUCCAGCGGCUGCUCCUCCUGCGGCUGCUCCUCCUGCGGCUGCUCUGCUUUUUCACUACUGGAGGGGAGGUCAGUUGGUUUGACUUUUAAGGGUCGACCCCUCUUGCGUGGUGGGCCGUCGUAGAGCGGUUUAGGUUCUGGAAUCGUUGCCUUCCAAUGCCUUUUCUUCUUGCCUAGAGAGCCCCUCGGCCGGCCCCUUUUCUUCGGUGUAGCGCCAUUCUCCAUUUCCAGCUUCUUCUUGGCGACAGCAGAGCCAGAGCUCCGGGGUCGGCCUCUCUUUCUCGGGGGGCUGUCUGCUUCUUCCUCCAGGGACCUUUUCCGGGGCCUGCCCCUCUUUCGCGGGGGUCCGUCAACAGCUGCAGCCUGGACCUUCCCUGAACCCGGUUGUCUCCCCCUCUUUCGGACCGGGCUAAAUGUGAGGCGCCUGGUUUUGUUUGUUGAACCGGGAGGUCGCCCUCUACCUCUUUUGACAGAGCCCUUAGGUCGACCCCUGCCACGUUUGACUGGCGGGGGGAUGCCAUUAGGAAUACCCUCCUCAGAGUCACUGGGCUCUGCCUUCAUCUCCUUUUGGAAUAGUCAGAUGACAAGUUGAGACAAUGUGGCUCUCUGCAGAAGAAAAUGGAUAAGGUUACACUCAUCCUCUUACAUGUCAUAGCAUACUAAAAGAAAAUGUCGGUCUUAGUGCCUGGUUAUUGCAACUAAAUGUAUCUUGCCAAUCGGAAGUCGUAACAAUCUUACUCAAACAAGUAAGGUAAAUGUAAGGUACAUUGAAGGUAAAAUUAUCUACAGCAAGUAGAUAAUAAGUAAGUAAUAAGGUUAUAAGAACUGCAAUCUUGCAAGUGUUUUCAUAUGUACCCAUCAGCGAGGUUAUGACUCUGAAGUUAUCCACGCCCCCCUUUCUAACCUUUGCAACCCAGCAACACGACGGUUCCUAGCUGGCUAAGCUAACAAAAAUAAUGCUGUUCAUGAUGGACAGCUAAGACAGUAACACGUUGCUGAAUGCACAUGUUAUACAUUAAUCAUACAUCAUAUAUUAAGUUAGAAAGAAAUAAUAACGACGUUCACGUGUCCCUUAAUUUGCUAGUUACCUAACAUGGGGGGGACCAGCUAACAUUAGCUGUUCAUCUAGCUGAUACUCCGCUACUUAGGUAGCUACACAAGUAGGUUGGCACAACUUUUAUGAAUCUCCAGAAAUACCUGUGGGAAUCCAGAUUCAAAUAAUGGUUGUUUUCUUGUACACGGCUUCUUGCGUAAUGUGGCAGAAAGCGUGCGGUUCACAAACAAAGGCACGGUAGCUUUCCAAUAUUUGAAUUGGUUGCGACCAUAGACAUAUAUACAGUAUAUAUGUCUAUGGUUGCGACGACGGGCUCUUCUACUUCUUCAUGGCACGUAGAAUUAGUACUUCCGGGUCAUUCAGUUUAAGACCGCAACAUGUGCAGGAGUUCCGUUCUGCUAGCGACUAUCGUUGCUCACUGAACGCUGCUAUGUGUAGUGAAAACAGAAUUUUGCUAGCAGCAGAAUUCAGUGCAUCAGUGCUGUUAUCAUAACCCACUGUAUAAACUGCACAAAAUGAACACACAGCCAACGUUAGCCAACAUAACUGACUUUAGGAUGAACAACCAUAUCACUACAGGGUUUUUCCUGCAUAGAGAAAAUUUGGGCGCGCGCCUAAGCCGUUUUCCCGAGCGCCUACGACAAAUCCCGAGCGCCUAAGGCAAAAAAAAAGUCCGUGAUGGGAAAUAAAAUAAAAGAAUAAAAAAAUAAAUUCAUUCAUGGCGCAAUUCAACUUAAUGGUGUUUUGAGCCCUCACCGUCGACUUCUAGGCAGCAGCUGCCUGGAAGGCGCAUCCCGCCUCCCACCCUCUGAGCCAAUCAUUGAACAGAGGCUUCUCCAAGCUUGCCAGUUUAGAGAAGAUGUUGGUUUGAAUUUGAGAUUUGAGCAAG
ensembl:lncRNA